CCAAGAAGUCCAACAUGUGCGCGAGUCAUUGGGUCCUACGAAACCUAAAGGCGUAAUGAAGGUGAAGGCAGGUUCGGCCUGCUGAGGUGAGAUCCCCGUCCUCCUCGGGCGGGGCGCAUCACCGGCCCGUCUGCAAAGGCGGAGCAAGAGCGCACACGUUGGGACCCGAAAGAUGGUGAACUAUGCCUGAGCAGGAUGAAGCCAGAGGAAACUCUGGUGGAAGUCCGUAGCGAUUCUGACGUGCAAAUCGAUCGUCGAACUUGGGUAUAGGGGCGAAAGACUAAUCGAACCAUCUA
rnacentral:rRNA from 1 species